GAUGAACGCUGGCGGCGUGCCUAAUACAUGCAAGUCGAGCGAAAAGACGCGGAGCUUGCUCCUCUGACGUUAGCGGCAGACGGGUGAGUAACACGUGUAUAACCUACCUAUAAGACUGGGAUAACUUCGGGAAACCGGAGCUAAUACCGGAUAAUAUACUGAACCGCAUGGUUCAUUAGUGAAAGACGGCUUUUCUGUCACUUAUCGAUGGAUCUGCGCCGCAUUAGCUAGUUGGUAAGUUAACGGCUUACCAAGGCAACGAUGCGUAGCCGACCUGAGAGGGUGAUCGGCCACACGGGAGCGGAGACGGGGUCAAGACGCCUAAGGGACGCAGCAGUAGGGUAUCUGCCGCAGUGGGCGAAAGCCUGACGGAACAACGCGACGUGAGUGAUGAAGGUGUUCGGAUCGUGAAGCUCGGUUAUUAGGUAAGAACAAAUGUGUAAGUUACUAUGCACGUCGUGACGGUACCUAAUCAGAAAGCCACGGCUAACUACGUG
rnacentral:rRNA from 1 species